rnacentral:rRNA from 1 species
UGGGGAAUAUUGGACAAUGGGCGCAAGCCUGAUCCAGCCAUGCCGCGUGAGUGAUGAAGGCCCUAGGGUUGUAAAGCUCUUUCACCGGUGAAGAUAAUGACGGUAACCGGAGAAGAAGCUCCGGCUAACUUCGUGCCAGCAGCCGCGGUAAUACGAAGGGGGCUAGCGUUGUUCGGAUUUACUGGGCGUAAAGCGCACGUAGGCGGACUUUUAAGUCAGGGGUGAAAUCCCGGGGCUCAACCCCGGAACUGCCUUUGAUACUGGAAGUCUUGAGUAUGGUAGAGGUGAGUGGAAUUCCGAGUGUAGAGGUGAAAUUCGUAGAUAUUCGGAGGAACACCAGUGGCGAAGGCGGCUCACUGGACCAUUACUGACGCUGAGGUGCGAAAGCGUGGGGAGCAAACAGG